rnacentral:misc_RNA from 1 species
GAUGAAGAACGUAGCGAAAUGCGAUAAGUAAUGUGAAUUGCAGAAUUCAGUGAAUCAUCGAAUCUUUGAACGCACAUUGCGUCCGCCAGCAUUCUGGCGGGCAUGCCUGUUCGAGCGUCAUUUCAACCCUCGAGCCCCCCCCGGGGGCCUCGGUGUUGGGGGACGGCACACCAGCCGCCCCCGAAAUGCAGUGGCGACCCCGCCGCAGCCUCCCCUGCGUAGUAGCACACACCUCGCACCGGAGCGCGGAGGCGGUCACGCCGUAAAACGCCCAACUUUCUUAGAGUUGACCUCGGAUCAGGUAGGAAUACCCGCUGAACUUAAGCAUAUCAAUAAGCGGAGGA